rnacentral:tmRNA from 1 species
GGUUUAUUAGUCAUAGGCACACUGAAAAGGGAUGUGUCCAUGGUCUUAUAUUUGACAGAAAGCUGUCAGCGGUCAGGGAUACCAUAUUGACCCUGGUGGACACUGAUCGGCUCAUAGACGGACAUGGCUAACCAGAAGAAGCUGAUAGACGAGCUCUGUGGGAUUGUUACUUCUUUUCUAUGUCCCCAGGGGAUUGUGCCAGAGAUUGAAAAAUGUUCUACAAAGCUGCCUCAUUUUUCUAAAGGUGGAACAAAGCCUGUGUGCACAGUGAGGCUCCAGCAUGGCCACACUUAUCACAUUGAGUUUGUGUACAAGUUUUGGCAGCACAUUUUGGGCCAGCUUCGCCUGCCCCUACAGCCUUGCUUUAUUUUGACAAAUAACGGCUUGGCCACCACUUUGAAAUGUUUUAUGAGCCCGCCAAGGGAUAUAGACUUUCAGUAUGGCAACAGGGUCAAUAUGGCCUGCGAUGUGAAUUUGGAGAAAAACUCUUGUGUUAUCAUAGAGGACGAGGAUUUCCUGAGGUUCAAGAGCUACCAUGUGUUUCCCAAGGACGUACCAAUCUAUAACUCUAUGGUGGUAUGUAGAACCUACAUCACUGAUAUGAGGAACGCAGUACAAUUUUUUGUGGUCAAGCCUGGAAACAGGAGAAAGAUUGUGCAUAUGUUGGAAAGUAUUGAGGAGAUGCCUGAAACCCCACAACAGUUGUAUUUUUGUGGUGGACGUGGGUAUAAGAUGAUAGGGGCUGGGCUCUCCCUCUUCUUUUUUGCAGCCAUAGUGGCGCUGGCCAGUAAACUAGUAUGGUGAUGGGGGCCUUGGACUAUCUGCGCUUGAUGAAUAUUUCAGUGGAUGAGUUUAGAAGCUUUUGUAUCUAUGGCCACCUCAGUGGGCAGCGUGGAUGGGGUGAGCUGUUGUUGAGCAAUCUUUCAUUUAAAAGAGCAGUGUGCCAUAUACUGAAAAUACAGUGUGAGACUAAGAAGAGGUGGACAAACAAGGUAUUGGUGGCGAAUAGUGCGUUGUCCCUACUGACCCUCUUCAGGAUGGUUCUUCAUGAAUGUGUUUUUUCACACAAAUAUUUUAUACCUGACAGGAUCGAGGACAUGUGUUUCCCGCUGACCAAAAUACUCACUGUGCCCUUCCUCAAGGCCCUAGAUCUGUAUCUCUCCCAGUUUUCCAUCUCAUGCAAGUUUCCCAUAAUUAAAAUAUCCACUGUGAAUCCUACCCUUCUGGCGUUUACCAAGAAGAAAUAUCUGGCUAGUGUUGUGUCUGAUCAACCCAUCGAGGUCCCUGCUCCAUCUGCCCGGCCUGAUCCUGUGAGGUUUACUGCUGCGGUGCCCUUAGCUUCUGAUGAGCAGUCUCUGGUGAAAGCUUUACAUUCCAGUACCGGGACAGUCCAGUGUGGAAAUCCAUUUUAUUAUAUGAUGACCAGACUUUGCUUGUAUGGACUAAUGCAUGGUAGGGGGGGAAUUGUGCCAGUUUCCAGCUCUAGUAAGCAGAGUGUAUAUGAUGUGGCUAUAAGAUUUAUAGGUUCUAGGAUAUUGAGCCCGAUAGUGAGGCUGCCAAUUUUAUCCAGGGCUUUGGCAGACCUGGCGCUGACGGGGCACGGUCAUCAGAUAACAGUGUGUAAUGAAUGUGGCCACUGUUUAAAUUUGGGCAGGGAUAAAUUUCUUGCAGUAAAUUUUUCCCCCACAAGUAUGUUUUAUUGCAGAGAUCAAAAGGAGAAACAGUUUAACAUAUGUGCUACAACUGGGAGGAUCUAUUGUUCAUAUUGUGGGGCGACAGAGUUUACAGUGUAUGACAUGGUGGGAAGGUAUGCUACGGGGGAGCCUUUUAUUAGGGCGGUUUCCUCAGCUAACUCCCUUAGUAUUUUAGAUAAUAGCGAACAGGAGUGUGAUAUACUGAUCCCUUGUUUUGGUAAAUCUAGGUCUUGCAGUAUUAAGCUGAGGGCGACAUUUAGGGAGCUACUUUAUUUGACAGCGUCUGUUGAUAAUUUUAUUUGUCAAAAGUGUUCCAAUAAGGGUGAUGAAU